AGUGAACGCUGGCGGUAGGCCUAACACAUGCAAGUCGAACGGCAGCACAGUAAGAGCUUGCUCUUACGGGUGGCGAGUGGCGGACGGGUGAGGAAUACAUCGGAAUCUACUUUUUCGUGGGGGAUAACGUAGGGAAACUUACGCUAAUACCGCAUACGACCUACGGGUGAAAGCAGGGGAUCUUCGGACCUUGCGCGAUUGAAUGAGCCGAUGUCGGAUUAGCUAGUUGGCGGGGUAAAGGCCCACCAAGGCGACGAUCCGUAGCUGGUCUGAGAGGAUGAUCAGCCACACUGGAACUGAGACACGGUCCAGACUCCUACGGGAGGCAGCAGUUGGGAAUAUUGGGCAAUGGGCGCAAGCCUGAUCCAGCCAUACCGCGUGGGUGAAGAAGGCCUUCGGGUUGUAAAGCCCUUUUGUUGGGGAAGAAAAGCCGCAAGUUUAAACCCCGCUGUUCUGACGGUACCCAAAGAAUAAGCACCGGCUAACUUCGUG
rnacentral:rRNA from 1 species